rnacentral:rRNA from 1 species
GACGAACGCUGGCGGCGUGCUUAACACAUGCAAGUCGAACGGAAAGGCCCUGCUUUUGUGGGGUGCUCGAGUGGCGAACGGGUGAGUAACACGUGAGUAACCUGCCCUUGACUUUGGGAUAACUUCAGGAAACUGGGGCUAAUACCGGAUAGGAGCUCCUGCUGCAUGGUGGGGGUUGGUAAGUUUCGGCGGUUGGGGAUGGACUCGCGGCUUAUCAGCUUGUUGGUGGGGUAGUGGCUUACCAAGGCUUUGCCGGGUAGCCGGCCUGCGAGGGUGACCGGCCACAUUGGGACUGAGAUACGGCCCAGACUCCUACGGGAGGCAGCAGUGGGGAAUAUUGCACAAUGGGCGGAAGCCUGAUGCAGCAACGCCGCGUGCGGGAUGACGGCCUUCGGGUUGUAGUCCUCUUUCGCCUGUGACGAAGCGUGAGUGACGGUAAUGGGUAAAGAAGCACCGGCUAACUACGUU